rnacentral:rRNA from 1 species
AUUGAACGCUGGCGGCAGGCCUAACACAUGCAAGUCGAACGGCAGCACAGAAGAGCUUGCUCUUUGGGUGGCGAGUGGCGGACGGGUGAGUAAUGUCUGGGAAACUGCCCGAUGGAGGGGGAUAACUACUGGAAACGGUAGCUAAUACCGCAUAACGUCGCGAGACCAAAGGUGGGGACCUUCGGGCCUCACCCCAUCGGAUGUGUCCAGAUGGGAUUAGCUAGAAGGUGGGGUAAUGGCUCACCUAGGCGACGAUCCCUAGCUGGUCUGAGAGGAUGACCAGCCACACUGGAACUGAGACACGGUCCAGACUCCUACGGGAGGCAGCAGUGGGGAAUAUUGCACAAUGGGCGCAAGCCUGAUGCAGCCAUGCCGCGUGUAUGAAGAAGGCCUUCGGGUUGUAAAGUACUUUCAGCGGGGAGGAAGGCGGUGAGGUUAAUAACCUUGCCGAUUGACGUUACCCGCAGAAGAAGCACCGGCUAACUCCGUGCCAGCAGCCGCCGUAA